AACGGAGGGGGUUAGCGAUGUUCGGAAUUACUGGGCGUAAAGCGCGCGUAGGCGGAUCAGAAAGUUGGGGGUGAAAUCCCGGGGCUCAACCCCGGAAUUGCCUUCAAAACUCCUGGUCUUGAGUUCGAGAGAGGUGAGUGGAAUUCCGAGUGUAGAGGUGAAAUUCGUAGAGAUUCGGAGGAACACCAGUGGCGAAGGCGGCUCACUGGCUCAAAACUGACGCUGAGGUGCGAAAAAGUGGGGAGCAAACAGG
rnacentral:rRNA from 1 species